rnacentral:RNase_P_RNA from 1 species
AAUCGCAAGUGUGCAGUCGCCGUGCAACGUCAAGGUUGCGCAGAGGAAAGUCCGAACUUCACAGGGCAGGGUGCCGGUCGAGAGCCGCAAGGCUCAAGCCCGGGGAUGUCGGCGCAAGCCGGAUAUCACAGACAGUGCAGCAGAAAACAGACCGCCCCGAGUUACCAAUGGUAAAGCGGAGUAAGGGUGAAACGGCGGUGUAAGAGACCACCAGACAGUACAGUAAUGUAUUGUGCUUGGCAAACCUCCCCGAAGCAAGGCUAAAUAGGAAAGCUUUCCCCUCAAAGGGAAAAGAGCGGCCCGUUCAAUUCCGCAAGGAGAGUUUUCGGGUAAGCCGCAUUAGAUAAAUGGCUGCAGCUUUACCCGGUUUUCCGGGUAAUCCACAGAAUUCGGCUUAUAGCUUUCGGUUUCAG